GAAAUUACAAACGUUGACGAAACCAAGCCGUCACGCACUCAGAUACAAGUAGCAGAUAUUGCUCCAGACACAACAACCAUAAGAUCACUGGACUGGGAUCGU
rnacentral:SRP_RNA from 1 species